rnacentral:rRNA from 1 species
AUUGAACGCUGGCGGCAGGCUUAACACAUGCAAGUCGAACGGUAACGGGGAGGGAGGUUACUUUCUCUGCUGACGAGUGGCGGACAGGCGAGUAAAGCUUGGGAAUCUGGCCAAUGGAGGGGGAUAGCCACGGGAAACUGUGGGUAAUACCGCGUAAUGUCUAAGGACCAAAGGGGUGGGACUGAGAGGCCACCUGCCAUUUGAUGAGCCCAAGUGGGAUUAGGUAGUUGGUGAGGUAAGGGCUCACCAAGCUGACGAUCUCUAGCUGGUCUGAGAGGAUGGCCAGCCACACUGGGACUGAGACACGGUCCAG